AUCGCUUCUCAGCCUUUUGGCUAAGAUCAAGUGUAAUAUUUAUUUCACACGAUCAUUCUACAAGCACAUUCUUGGUAUGGUUCUAUUAUUAUUUCCAUAGAUACCUAUUUGCAUUGCCUUUGUUAGAGCUUUU
rfam:Heterocephalus glaber contig128051, whole genome shotgun sequence.